GGUGGGUAGCAAAGCCUUGGAAGCAAGUCAAGGUUUUACUGCCUUAGAAGAAAGGUCAGAAAGGACUCCUGAAUCUGUGGUUGCACGUGUAGGCAUGGAACCAGUUAGACCAUCGGAGGCAUUAGCAGGAAUGAUGCAUUUGAAAUCCACAGCAGAGAGAGAACCAAAGCAUGCAGAACCUCUUGGUGGCAAGCAAAGCAAACUUGUUGGGAGUUUGAGGGGGCUGCAAAUGUGAGAGGUGUGAAAGUGAGUUCACAAAUGUCACACUUACCACAGAUGAAGAAUUUGGAAAUGAUUUUGGGAUCUGAAACAAGGACACUAAGGCAUUCUGAACUUGCUUCAGAAGAUCCAAACCAGUCAAAGGCAAUAAGCAAAGAAACAGUACUAGCAGCUGUGCAGACUUUGGAAGCAAGUUCAGAACCUGUACAGGAACAAGUACUAGGGCAUUCAGUAGCAGUAUUAGAGUCACUGCCCAGAGGGGAAGAAAAAACUAUGGACUCAGAAAUAUUGACAGAAGGGAGGAACUUGAAAGGAGCUUUAGAAUCUAAGAUUUUGACAGAUGUGAGAACUCAGGGACCUACUGUAGAAUAUAUAAUUGCAACAAAGAGGACAAGCACACAAAGAAAUGAGCCCUCACUUAUAAAAGAAAAAUUGGAAGCAGCUUCAGAAACAGAGGAAGCAGUGGAAGCAAGAGACUUGGAGCCAGCAUCAGAAGCUAGAGAUGUGGGGUUGUUGCACAGUAUGAAAGAGCCUGAAGCAGUAGAAGUGAAAGGUUCUGUGCACAUGGUUAUUCAAGGCUUGGAAACUUCCCAGAAGUCUGUAAAUGUGGGAGCUAUAAAUGUUUUGGAGUGUGCUUCAGAAGCCAUUCCAGAAUCUCUGCACACUGAAAACCAAGAACAUCUGCAAGCAGUUCUAGAAGCAAAACCUGCUGCAGGAUGGAAGAGUACAGAAGAGGCUUCACAAAUCUUGAGUGCUGCUGAGACUGUAUCUACUGAAGCAGUUCCAAAACCAGGGGACACAAAAGAUCUGGGACAAACAGUGGACCAUGCAGUGGCAGAAGUACAGCAUGCAGAAGGAGUGCAGGAUCAGCCAAUGGAGGAUGUGAGAGUUCCAGGUCAAGCUCAGGAAUGCGAGAUGCUGGUUGAGCAGAAAGAUGCAGAGCAAGCUCAAGUAUCUGAGCCUUUAAUAGCAGAAACAGUUUUUAGUUCUUCACAUGCCGUAGAUGAAAAAGCUUCAACAGGGACUCCUGAUUCUGAAAUGAUCAGAGAGACACAACAGGUGGAAGGAGCUCCAGCUCAUCUGGGAGAAACAAAAGAUUUAGAAACAGCUGCUCUUCUUGAGACUGUUGCAGAGGUGAAAGAUGCAGAAGCAGUUGUGGGGUUGGAGGCAGAAACAAAAGAUUUGGAAGCAGCAGAAGUACCUGAGGCCAUUGCAGAAGCAGUUCCAGCACAUGUGUUAGAGGCAAGCCAGUCAGAAGUCACCCCACAGACUGAGGCUGUCAGAGAAGCAACUCCAGAGCAGGAGUCGGAGAAAAGGGAUUCAGAAACCUCUGAAGUGCAGCCUGAUGUGGCAGCACGAAUGAGAGAGACUCUGAUGAGACUUGAGAAAGUUGAAAAAAGUAGCCAUAGAACCAGUGAUAAAAAACAUGAUGCAAAGAAACAAAAAAGAAGUCGUUCCAAGUCUCAGUCCAGGUCUAGGAAGCGGAAGAAAAAAUCAAGGUCGCGUUCUACUUCCAGGCGGUUGACAUCUAAAAGAGGACGUUCUAGGAGUAGAAACUACUCAGUUUCCAGAAAAAAGCAUUCCAAAUCCAGAUCACGAUCUGUGGAGAAGAGAGAGAGAAGAUUAUCUUCCCGGAGGUCCAGGCGCAGACGUUCUAGGUCGUCUGAUCGUUACAGGUCUAAAUCCAGAUCAGCAGAAAAGAGAUUGUCCUCCGGGAGGUCCAGGCGCAGACGUUCCAGAUCUUCUGACCGCUACAGAUCUAAGUCCGGGUCAGUGGAUAAGCGACUGUCCUCCCGAAGGUCCAGACGCAGACGUUCCAGGUCCUCUGACCGCUACAGAUCCAAGUCUGGAUCAGUGGAAAAGCGAUUGUCUUCUCGAAGGUCUGGGCGCAGACGUUCCAGGUCUUCUGACCGCUACAGAUCCAAGUCUAGGUCAGUGGAUAAGCGACUGUCCUCUCGAAGGUCUGGACGCAGGCGUUCCAGGUCCUCUGACCGCUACAGAUCCAAGUCUGGGUCCGUGGAUAAGCGACUGUCCUCCCGAAGGUCUGGACGCAGACGUUCCAGGUCCUCUGACCGCUACAGAUCCAAGUCUAGGUCAGUGGAUAAGCGACUGUCCUCUCGAAGGUCUGGACGCAGACAUUCCAGGUCAUCUGAGCGCUACAGGUCUAAAUCGCUAUCAGUAGAUAAGAGGGGGAGCAGGUUGUCCUCCUGGAGAUCCCGCCGCAGACGUUCCAGGUCCUCUGACCGUUCUAAGUCCAGAUCCAGGUCUUCAGAGAAGAGAGGAGGCAAAGAAUACUCAUGGAGGUUCAGAAAUAGAUCUGUUUCCUCUGAUCGCUCAAAAUCUAGGUCGAGAUCUGUUGAAAAGAGAGGUCGGAAGUCAUCUCUGCGAAGGUCUAAACGUCGGCGCUCAAAGUCCUCUGACCGUUACAAGUCCAGAUCCCGAUCAGCAGAAAAAAGAGAUCGAAAGCAGUCAUCACGGAAGUCUAAACGUCAGCGCUCAAAGUCCUCUGACCGUUACAAGUCCAGAUCCAAGUCAGUGGAAAAAAAGAAGGAGUCCUCAAGAAAAUCCAAGCGUCGCCGCUCGAAAUCCUCUGACCGUUACAAGUCUAGAUCUAGGUCUGUAGAAAAAAAGCGCAAGGAAUCUUCAAAAAAAUCCAAACGGAAACGUUCCAAAUCCUCUGAUAGUGUUAAGUCAAGGUCCAAAUCUGUAGAAAAAAGAGACAGUAAGUUAUCUUCAGUAAAGGGCAGUAGCAAGCGUAUGGAGUCUUCUGAACUUCAGGAAUCAACCAAAUGUCCUGAAACAGUAGAUGUUCCUGAACCUCCUUCUGGAAGUGAAGGCACCUCUUCCAAAUCCUCUAAUGGUCCCAUGUCAGUAACUUUGUCUGCUGAAGGACUUAAUGGUCCAGAGCUGCCACCGGCAUCUGAAAGUGGACUUCCCAAACCUUCUGAUAGUCUUGAGCAAAACUCCUCACCUGCAGAAAAUACAGUGGGUCUGCAGCCUUCUGUGAUGUCUGAAUUUGACCCAGAUGACCACGUACCAAAAUGCACACCUGUGGAAGAAUCACAAGUUUCAGUGCUUUCCAUGACAUCUGAAAAUGGAUCAACUGACAAAGCAGUGGUUCUGGAGUCUUCAUCACUACCUGAACUUGCAUACUCUACACCCACAUCAGUAUCCUUAUCUGUAGAAAAAGAAGGCGAUGCAGAGACCCCUUCAGUAACAGAAUUUCAGCUUUCUGCGUCUGCAUCCCAUGAUGAUGAGUUAAGGUCUACCUCUCUCAAAGAAACAGAGGGUCCAGAGCCUCAUCUGACACUUGAAAGUGGAUGCUCUGAAUCUUCUGAUGAUUACAAGACAAUUUCCAUGUCCUCUGGAAAAAACGAGAUUCAGGAGUCUUCUCUGAUGUCUGACAGUGUACUCUCUGACUUGUCUGAUGGUCAUGAAUUGAGACAUACCCCUGUUGAAAAAGCAGAGCUUCAGAAUUUUUUGGAAGUUCCUGAAAGUGUAUCUUCCAAUUUGGCUGGCAGCCCUCAGUCACUAUCUUUUGAAACAGCAGAGGCUCAAAAAUCUUUUUUAGCACCUCAGGUUCCAUGUUCUGUUUUCCCUGAGUCAGCCUCCUUGCCUAUUGAAACAGGACAGAUGCAGGAGCGUUCUCUGGCUUCUGAGAGUGGAUGCUUCAAAUCUCUUGAUGGGCAUGGAUCAGGAUCCUGCGUUGCUGCACGAAUUCCACUGAUUUCUGAAGAUGGGUCCUUCACGUCACCUGAUGAAAAUGAAGAAAUAUCCUUAUCUGUUGAAAAGAUCAAGGCUUCAGCUGUUUCCCUGACAUCUGAGUGUGGUCCAGUUGAGAUCUCGGAUGUUGUACUGACAGCUGUAGGACAAAGCUGCAAGUCUUCUGAAGUUCUAGACUGCGUAUCAUCCGUUGACAAGGAUAUAGACGGUCCAACACUUUCACAGGUACUUCGCUGCUCUGAAUCUUCUGAAAUGCAUGAAUUGAGAUACCUGCCUGAUGGAAAAAUAGAGAGUACAGGAUCUUUCUUGAUCUCUAAAAGUGGAAUUCCUGUGGGCCAUGAUGGCCAUAAAGCAAACCACAAUUUCCUGGAGAAAACAGAAGGUGCAGACCUAUUGUUGGCAUCUGAGAUUAGGCAUUCUCUCUUCCCUGAAGGCUAUAAAUUGACAUCCACUCCAGUUGAAAAAACAGAGAUACAGAAAUCUCCCCUCCCCCUGGAAAGUGAGUUCUCCAAUUCUGUUAAUGUGUGUGAAUCAGUAAGCACACCUAAUGAAAAACUGCAGGCCCCAGUGACUUCUGUGACAUCUGAAGGUGGGCUCUUCCUGUUGAGUGAUAGUCAUGAAUUGAGACCUUUCUCUGCUGAAAACGCAGAGGUGCAAAAGUCACCUAGAGUGGAAUGUAUUGCAUCCACUGAUGGCUACAGCGUGAGAUCUUCAUAUGAUGAAGAAAUACAAGUGCAAGAGCCGUCUCUGAUACUGGAAGGCAGAUGUGCUGUUUCCUCCGAUGGUCAUGAUUUGACAUUCACGGCUUCUGAAAAAGCUGAGGUAGAGGAACCCUCUCAAAUGUCUGAAAAUGAGUACACAACAGCGCUUGAUGGUCCAGAAUUGACAUCAACCCCUACUGAAAGGGCAGAGAUGCGGGAACUUUAUCACACGCCUGAAGAAAACUGUUCAGUGUCCAUUGAAAGCCAAAAGUUUCAUUCAGCUCUUGCUGAACAGAUAGAAAUGCAAGAGCCUGGUCUGAUGCCUGAAAAUGAACAUACUGUAUAUUGGAAGGCCCAGGAGUUGAGAUAUAGCUCACCUGAAAAGGUAGAGAUGCAGGAGGCUUCUGUAGUAGCUGCCAAUGAAUAUGCUGUGUCUUCUGAAUUGCCAUCUUCCCUUGCUGAAAAAGCAGAGGUACAGGAGUGUUCUCUGCUGUCUGAAAAUGAAUAUACUGUAUCUCCUGAGAUCCAGGACACAUCAGCCAGUCCUGAAAAAGAGGUGCAGGAACCUUCUCUGACAUCAGACAGUCAAUAUACUAUCGUGCCUGAAGACCAAGGAUUACAAUCUACGCUUGCUGAAAGAACACUGGUGCAGGAGCCCUCUCUAAUAGUGGACAGUCAAUAUGCUGCAUCCCCCGAAGGGCAAGAAUUGCUUUCUGCUCAUGCUGAAAAAGCAGAGGUGCAGGACUCUUCUUUGUUGUCUGAAAAUGAGUAUGUUGUAUCCCCUGAAGGCCAUGAUAUGAGACCCAGUCCUGUUGGAAAAGAAGAAAUGGAGGAACAUUCUGAAACAUCAGAAAGUGAAAGUUCAAUGUCCACAGAUAGCCAGGAGCUGCAGUCUACUGCUGCUGGAAAAACAGAGGUGCAGGAGUUGUCUUUGAUGUCUGAAGGUGAAUGUGCCAUGUCCCCUCAAGGUCAGGGACUGCAGUCCAGUCCUACUGAAGAGGCUGAAAAUGAGUGUACUCUGUCUCCUGAAGAAUAUGAAUCGAGAUUGACUCAUGCUGAGAAAAUAGAGGGUAUGGAUUCUUCUUUGACAUCUGAAAAUGACCAUGUUAUAUCUUUUGAGAGCCAGGAGGCAAGAUUCACCCCCGUUCAAAGAGUAGAUGCUCAGGAACUGUCUCCAAUACCUGAAAUUGAACAUGAAGCAUCCCCUGAUGGACAUGAGUUGGGAUUCCACACUGAACCUUUGAUGCUAAACAAUAGAGCCUCCAUGUCCCCUGAUCACAGUGAUAUGAAAUCCAUCCCUGUUGAAAAUAUAGAUGAUGCAGUGCCUGAGAGUGCACGUUCCAUGUCCCCUGAUUGCUACAGCGUGAAAUCUGGCCCUGGUGAAGAAGCAGGAGAUGUAGAGCCUUCUCUGAUACCCGAACGUAGACAUUCCACAUCCUCAUAUCAGGAAAGUCAUGAGCCAAAAUCACCCAUGGAGGAAGAGGGUCCAGAGCCCUCUUUGACUUCUGAACGUAGGCACUCCACAUCCCCUGAUGACCAUGAGUCAAGAUCUAGUGUUGGUGAAGAAGCAGAGUACCUGGAGCAGCCUUUGACAACAGAACGUAGGAGCUCUGUGUCUUCUGAUGAACAUGAGUCAAGGUCUACCACUGGGGAAGAGGUAGAGGAUGCAGAACCCUCCUUGACAGCUGAACGAAGAGACUCUACAUCCUCUGAUGAACAUGAGUCAAGAUCUGCCACUGGAGAGGAUGUAGAAGAUAGGGAACCUUCUUUGACAGGUGAACGUAGACAUUCGACAUCCUCUGAUGAUCGUGAGUCAAGAUCUACAACUGGUGAAGAAAUGGAGGAUUUGGAACCUUCUCUGACAGCUGAACAUAGGCGCUCUGUAUCUCCUGAUGGACGUGAGUCAAGGUCAAGCACUGGUGAAGAAGCAGAGGACCAGGAGCUUUCUUUGACAGCUGAACGGAGACACUCCACAUCCUCAGAUGAACAUGAGUCGAGGUCUACUGCUGGUGAGGAUGCGGAGGAUGUGGAACCCUCCUUGACAGCUGAACGAAGAGAUUCCACAUCAUCUGAUGAUCGUGAGUCAAGGUCUACUGCUGGUGAAGAAGCAGAGGAUAUGGAGCAGUCCUUGACAACUGAACACAGACGUUCCACAUCCCCUGAUGGGCGUGAAUCACGGUCUACCACCGGUGAAGAAGGAGAUGAUAUGGAGCCUUCUUCGACAGCUGAAAGAAGAGACUCCACAUCAUCAGAUGAGCAUGAGUCAAGGUCUAGCACUGGUGAAGAGGGUGAGGAUGCUGAAACCUCUGUGGGAGAUGAAGAUAAACAGGGAGAUGAAGAUAAGCUUGAGAGAUUGGAGGAGGAACCUGACAGUAGGCGUUCUGAGUCUUCGGAACGUGAAAAAUCUAGAUCCAAAUCUGUUGAUAAAAUAUCUGACAAAGGCUCUUCAAGGAGAUCUAUAAGCAGACACUCAAGAUCUCCUACUCGCCAAAAGAGUCGGUCCACAUCUGUUGAAAAAGGAGCAGACAAAGAGUCUUCGUGGAGAUCUAGACAUAGACGUUCUAGAUCCACAUCUGUUGAAAAAACAGCAGACAAGGAAUCUUCACAGAGGUCUAGACAUAGACGCUCCAGGUCCGCCGCUCGCCAAAGGAGUCGAUCAGCAUCUGUUGAAAAAGCAGCAGACAAAGAGUCAAGGAGGUCUAGACGUAGACGUUCCAGGUCCACUGCUCACCAAAGGAGUCGUUCUAAAUCUGUUGAAAAAGCAGCAGACAAAGAAUCACGGAGAUCUAGAAGCAGACGCUCCAGGUCUUCUCAGCGCAGAUCCCAGAGGUAUGAUACCAGAAGGAAUCGCUCCAGAUCAGCAACACGGAGAAGAGCAUCAAGAUCAAAAUCUAAUCGUCGCUCUCGCUCUAGCUCCUUGUCACGUUCAAGGCACAGAAGGAGGAGUAGGUCAAGGUCGGCAUCAAGAAGGCGGCGUUCUUUAUCAAGAGACAGGCGUAAGAGAUCGCAGAGAAAUAGAUCAAGAUCCACUGACAGAAGAAGAAGAAGAUCAGAUUCGAGAGAUCGUAGAAUAUCACUCAGGCUACGGAGCAGGAGUCGAACACCUAUUCGUCAAAGGCGGUCAAGGUCACGAGGAAGAAGGCGGAGCUCUAGUAGGUCACCAAUUCGACUGCGUCGAUCAAGAUCUUCAGGGAGAAGAAGAUACAGCAGAUCACCUGACCGUCGUCGGUCAAGGUCAUCAGAAUUUUCAAGCAGGUCACCCAAACGUCUUACAGACUUGGACAAAGCCCAGCUACUUGAAAUAGCCAAAGCUAAUGCAGCUGCCAUGUGUGCUAAGUCUGGUGUUCCCUUACCACCAAGCCUGAUGCCUCUGUUAUCUCAAAAGAAAGACGACAAAGCCAAUCAGAAGUCAUCAAGAGAUACACUAAAGGAGCUCACUGAGAAAUGCAAGAAGAUUGCUCAAAGCACAGAUGAUGUGAUAGUGAAUAAACCUCAUGUUUCUGAUGAAGAGGAGGAAGAACGUCCUUUCUAUCAUCAUCCUUUUAAGCUCAGUGAACCCAAACCCAUUUUUUUCAAUUUAAGUACUCCGAGCAUAAAACCAGCACCACCACCACAACCAAAAAAUCAGGUCAGCUUGUCAAAGGAAUUUCCUGUUUCAUCUGGGUCUCAGCAUAGAAAAAAAGAAGCAGAUAGUGUUUAUGGAGAAUGGGUUCCAGUUGAAAAAGGCAAAGAAGAUAGCAAGGAUGAUGUUUUCCCCAAACCAGCCAUUGAGUGUGUGGACAUAACUACAGCUAUGAAUGAUCGAGCAAUUGCUCAGAAAAGGCUUAAUGAGAACACUUUUGAUUUAGAGGCCAUGUGCAUGUUAAAUCGCGCACAAGAGCAGAUUGACGCCUGGGCCCAGUCAAACUCCAUACCUGGCCAGUUCACAGGAAGUACUGGAGCACAGAUACUGUCCUCAGAUGAGCUAACCAACAGUGGCCCCCAAGCAUGGAUUAGAAAGGGUCAAAUCCUUGUAGCUGCCUUCUUGCCACGGUCAAUGCCAGCCCUACUAUUCACAACACUGCGGCCAUCGAGGCCUAGGAUCAGUUCUUAAGAGCAGCCCCUGUAACUGGAGGAAUGGGAGCUCAACUGAUGAGAAAAAUGGGCUGGAGAGAAGGAGAAGGGCUUGGAAAAAACAAAGAAGGCAGUGUUGAGCCUAUAAUGGUCGAUUUUAAGACAGAUCGAAAAGGGCUUGUUGCUGUGGGAGAGAAGGCACAAAAGAGAUCUGGACAUUAUGUUGUAAUGAAGGAUCUUUCAGGUAAACAUCCAGUUUCUGCAUUGAUGGAGAUUUGUAACAAAAGAAGAUGGACACCACCUGAGUUUGUGUUGGUGGAUGAUAGUGGGCCUGACCAUCGCAAACAUUUUAUCUUUAAGGUGAGAGUCAAUGGAAAUGAAUACAGGCCUACAUUUGCCAGCCUUAACAAGAAGCAUGCUAAAGCCACAGCAGCAACUGCGGCUCUCCAGGCGAUGGGACUUGUACCAAAGGAAAGCAUGGUUAAUACCACCAUGUUUAGGAGUGCCUCACACCGCUAGAUAUUGUUUUUUAUAUUGACAUUAUUUCAGAUAAUUUUACUCUGCACAAAAAUGGUAUUUGCCCUUUCAUGUUGUAAAUACAUUGGCAAUUUCCACGUUGUAAAAACUGUACAGACACCUUCAGGUUUUUCUUUUGUACCAUCAAAAUGUAUUUAAAUCAUACUUAGUUUUUGGUAUGUUUAUAUUGUUUACAUUAGUGAUGUAAUUAUUUCUUAAAAGACUAAAUCAGACGACAGACUCUGGAGGCAUCAGUAAUCUAAACCCUCGUUUUAAAACUCAUGCAGUUUCUCUUCAGUACGGAAUGUUAACACUUUAAUACUGUUUUGUACUAUGCUGCAGUUUUCCCCAGUCUCGGUGAAGCUCCUCUUGCCCUUUUGCCAACAGCUGGUGAAAGGCAGAGGUGCUGAUUACCCUGGCAUGUACUGCUGGACAGAUACUGGGCCAGUGCUGGAACCCCUGUGAGAAGGUGCACGAUGGCAGCCCUGUUGUACAGCGUUAACACUGCACCUUCUCUUGGAAUUUUGCUUAGGGGUUUAACUUGGUGGUGCACUGCAACUGGCCACACAGCCCAUACAGUUUUAGGACAUACACACGAUUAGGCAAAAGACUUGCUUCCAAAAGGGAUGGCAGAAGGGGCCAGCAAUGGAACCGAUGAGACUUGCAAUGUAAAGGUGACCCUCCCUGCAUGUUCUGAGAAGGGAGAUGAUGGAAUUGUCUAUUCCAAACAAAUUAGCACACUGCCUGAUGUUGAUUGUACGAAUUUGUGGUUAAUGUGAAUUUUAAACUCUUAACAAAUCUACAACUGGAUCUGGGGGGGAGGGAGGGGAUAGAAUGAUGCUUAAAUUGUUGUACCCAACUUGGUCAAUAAAGCAGCACAAGUUCAUAAUCUUAAUCACUGGUCAGUAAACAGUAAUUAAAAUGUAUGCCAAAAGAACUUUUUUAAGAAAUGCACCGUAUAAAAGUAUGUUUUAUGACGAUUAUUAGCAGCUGUUAGGGUUGCAGAAUAAUUUCUGUUAAUUUUUGGUUGGUCUAUUUUACCAAAUUAACUCCUUGAGCUUCAAUUUUCCCUUAAUAGAGUACUCUGCCCUCAAGGAGACAGCCUGAUCCAAAGUUUUGGCAGUUUGACAAGGGAGAGGAUGUAGAAAGCUUUUCCUUUUUUAAAUUUUUUUUUAUUUAAGAAGUAUUAGUACUUUAGCAAUGUGCACUUUGAAUUGGAAAGGGCAUUAUAUACCACUUGCCAGAUUUGUCUGAAUUACAAGCAGAUCACCAGGGUUUAUGGACUCCAGUAGUUCAGGUGCUUAUUUCAGAGAAGUCUUUUUGUGGUCUCUCUGUUUUACCUACUGAAAAGAGCUUUGCCUGGGACAGGAGCAAAACAGUUUGCAUGCAGUAAAGCUGUGCUCAGGCCUAGUGAAUGACCCUUGCAAUGGAUGUAGGAAUGUGGAGGUGAAGAGUUGCUAGUACUUCUUACACAAAGGGAGGUGACCUGUGUGUAUUCUGCUAACUGUGAUGGAAUAAGUUGUCAUUCUUUGCCCUAAAGGGACGAGGAUCAGUGUCUCAUAUUGUGUACAGCAGACCGAUGGUAUUUGGUUCUUCACCACACACUUGUGAGAAAUAAAGCCCCUUUACUAGUCUGUCAAAGUGUUACAGAAAUGCUGAAGUUAAUUUGAAUUUUCUUGGAUGUAGCCGUCUUCAAACAAUUUUCCAUUUGGCUUUUUGCCUUCAGUCUCUGACUAAAUAUUUGAAGAUCUCCUUGCCUCAUUUGCUGAACUAGUAUGGAAGUGUGUAUGUAAAGAAAAGUAAAUCUAAUGGUACAGCAAUGGAAAGAUCUGGUCUGGGAGAAAUUGGUGUUGUAUCUGUCUUAGCUGAAGUCUGGCUUUUUGAUGUACAACUGAAGAUAAUUGACUUGGGAUGUGGGAGCAGCUCCUAAGCAGAUGUUUGUUUAAAAAUCUGGUUUGCUAGCACUAAGGCAUGGGAGAUGUUGAUCAUUCUGUUUAGUCUAUGGUGUCCAUGUAAGCACUGGUUUCAUAGCUGUAUGGUAUGAAAACGGGGAACAUACCAACUCUUGUUCUGUUCUUUUUAUUUUUUUGCUCUGUAUUUCUCGUGUAAUGUAAAGACACAUGUUCUCUCACAGCAGCAAGAAGAAAAUUAAGUCCCACUGAAAAUUCCAUUUAAAAGUAACUAUUUAGGCAUGGAUUUCAUGCCUUACAGGAUGUGGUACUGUGUGCAGAUUUAACCUUUGGUCUUAAAGAAGACUUGAAAAAAAAAAUUAAGGUCUGUCAUACCCUAAUUAUGACACUUCUUGAUUUUGAGGUUUCUGUUUCAGUUUCAUUCCUUGUUCUUUAGAAUGAUAUAUGAAUAUAAAGCUAGUGCAGCAAUGUGCUUCUGUUAAAUUUGUAAAUUUGAAUUGGUUUGAGUGUGCUUUGCAUGCAGGAAUAGAUAAGUAGUGAUACAUUAAAAAGAACAACUAGGAAAC